rnacentral:rRNA from 1 species
UACAGAGGUCUCAAGCGUUGUCCGGAUUUAUUGGGCGUAAAGAGCUCGUAGGCGGUUUGGCAAGUCGGGUGUGAAAACUCCGGGCUCAACUCGGAGACGCCACUCGAUACUGCUAUGACUUGAGUCCGGUAGGGGAGUGCGGAAUUCCUGGUGUAGCGGUGAAAUGCGCAGAUAUCAGGAGGAACACCGGUGGCGAAGGCGGCACCCUGGGCCGGUACUGACGCUGAGGAGCGAAAGCGUGGGGAGCGAACAGG